rnacentral:lncRNA from 1 species
AUAUUCGUAGGAUAUGACACCGAACGAAAAGGAUGGAGAUGUUUCGACCUACCCGUAAAAGACAUGUUUUGAAAAGAUGGGGAUUGGGGCUAUUGAUCCGGAAAGACGAGAUGGAAUUGCUAUUGAGUCUUCGAGGCGCUGAAAGCAAAGCCCUAAGAUUGAUCUGAUUCCUCCCAUUGAGUCGGUCUUAGAGCCGGUAGAUCAGAUUGAAUGAGGGAUGGAAGGAUGUUCCGGUAUUCGAAUUAUCCGCAGGGCUACACGACGGUGGAAGAUCAGAUUGAAUGAGGGAUGGAAGGAUGUUCCGGUAUUUGAAUUAUCCGCAGGGCUACACGAAGGUGGAAGUAAAGUGGCUGGAGCUCCU